AAAAUUUUAGUUUAAUAAAAAUAUUUCAUUUACAUUGAAAAGAUUUUUUGGAUAAAAAAUUUUAA
rnacentral:tRNA from 1 species